UACGUAGGGUGCAAGCGUUAAUCGGAAUUACUGGGCGUAAAGCGUGCGCAGGCGGCUCUGCAAGACAGAUGUGAAAUCCCCGGGCUUAACCUGGGAACUGCAUUUGUGACUGGCAAGCUAGAGUAUGGCAGAGGGGGGUAGAAUUCCACGUGUAGCAGUAAAAUGCGUAGAGAUGUGGAGGAAUACCGAUGGCGAAGGCAGCCCCCUGGGCCAAUACUGACGCUCAUGCACGAAAGCGUGGGGAGCAAACAGG
rnacentral:rRNA from 1 species